rnacentral:rRNA from 1 species
CAAACUGAAGAUGGCGACCGGCGCACGGGUGAGUAACACGUAUCCAACCUGCCGAUAACUCCGGAAUAGCCUUUCGAAAGAAAGAUUAAUACCGGAUGGCAUACGAAUAUCGCAUGAUAUUUUUAUUAAAGAAUUUCGGUUAUCGAUGGGGAUGCGUUCCAUUAGUUUGUUGGCGGGGUAACGGCCCACCAAGACUACGAUGGAUAGGGGUUCUGAGAGGAAGGUCCCCCACAUUGGAACUGAGACACGGUCCAAACUCCUACGGGAGGCCAGCAUG